UUCUUUCAGUAACACAAAUCAAAUAAACCUUUAACUUGCAGUGAGCACAACACAUGCUUCGACUGGAUUACUAUUCAGCUAUUAUUCUUUUUAACUUUUAAAAUUAACAGCUGAAUAUAUCACUGAUGUGGAAUUCAUCACAAAUUAGACAGUUAAUUCUGAUAAUUUGGGAGUUUACGUAUCUGAAUAAAUGACUCAGAUAUUCAGUUCCUUUGAAUUAUUCACAGUACAAUUGAACUCGGAUAAAAUUAACUGAAACAGCAGUUCGGGAAUCAAAAACAAACAGUUCAAAAACAAACAAAUUUCAAUCAGUCAGAUCAACAGAAAAGUCACCAAUAUUGAAAUAUCUAGGUAAUUAUUAAUCGAAUGGGGCCCAUUAAUGUUGGUGCACUUCAGUAUCUCAACUUCUCGCAACAGUAAAUAGAUUCAGAUCCGAAACACUUUACUCACAAAUCCUUGCGAUCAUCACCCAGCAAUGCAAUGACUUUUCUGUCGGCAGAACCUGUGCAAAAUUCCCUUUAUAAAACCCAGUCAGCCUAGUUUUACUAUGCAUUACGUCAUCUGCAUAUCAUUUCCACGCAUAUUCCUAUCCACGAGACACCAUGUUUAACGGUACAAGACAUUAGGAAAAUAUGGCUGCAUCCGAAAACCUAGGCAGCUGACUUGUUUCCUCUCUGCCCUAUCAGGCAAUGACUGUAAGGCAGCGUUUGUGCAUGAAGGCACCUCUCGAAACUGAUUUCAGACAGACUUCUGAGGCAGUGUAACAGUUUAAUGAUCUACCGCAGCGUGAGCUUUAGUGAGAACUAAACAAAUAUUUAAUUACUACAGUAAUUUCUCGCUAGAAAUGACAUCAAAUGUGGAACACACAAACUGAUCAGCAAAUGCAACUUUCGGAUGCCAUCUGUAUUUUUCCAGCUCAACUGACAUAGAAUGGACGCACAGGAUUGUGGGAUAUCAAAGGCAGCGAAGGACACAUCUAUGCUGCCUUCAAAAAUCCAUCAGAUGAAGGUAUGUCAGGAAACAGGAAGUGACGCUAACAUUGGAUUCGGUCAUGCCUUGAUGCCUUCCUACCUUGAAAUGUGUCCUCAGAAGGCAGCAUUUUCCAGUUUUCGGACGCAGCCUAUGACUAUAAAUGCCAUCACAGUGCAUUGCUAAAACUCAUUCACUAUUCUUGAAGUGAUGUCACCUCCCUCUCUUCGAUUGAUUGGCUAGAGGAGGAGCUGUCAAUCUAGAAGUAGUGGACCAAUGGUGAUGCUGAAGCCUGCCCUAAUUUACAUGAAACUCGAACUGCAGAAUGUGGAAAGAAGAGCAAAGACAAAAACAGCAUAAGUGUACAAAAGAGUAAAAUAUGAGCAGAAAAUGUAAGAGAGCACAAAGUACAGAGUCAGGGUAUCCGCGGGGCAUUAAAAAGCAUUAAAAGUCAUUAAAUGGAUUUUGCGAAAAUUAAGGCCUUAAAUGGCAUUAAAAAGCAUUACAUUUUAUUUCUACAGGCAUUAAAUUUUUUGAUAGUUUUGAAGAAAAAUAAUACUACCAGUUUAUUUUGAAUAAAGCCUAAAUAAUUAAUAACUUUGAUUUGCUGUCGUAAAAUAUGUACAUUGGUGUGAUAUGCACACGGAACCAGUUUCCUAAUUGCCUCCGGCCGGUGCAAAAUUGCCGUAACGCCAGUUUGGACAGCGGCGCACUGGGACCUGGAGACAGAAGGCUGCAUCAGUGUUGCCAACUUAGCACCUUUUCAGACCCCUUUUGCGACUUUUUUCUAAGAAAGCGCGUUGUGACGAAUAUAGCUAUUUGUUAACCUGAUCUAGCUUUCGAGACCCCUACUACUGCACGAGCGCGAGAUCUUGCUUUCCUGCCGCUGCCGCACCUCUCUGGUUCAGCAGCGCAUUCAGUUGAGGAUGUGCGCUCUGUCAGAGAACAAAUAAAAUAGAUACUAUUACUUCUAACCUGAGUGAUCAUUUUACGUGUACAAAGUCACAGCAAAUGUCUUUAUCUUAUGUGUAUGGUGAUUUUGUCAGACAACUUCUCGAUUAUAAAUCAGGAUUUUAGUGCUGGUUUAACAUGUCAGAGCUCGAACUUUACUUUCCCGACCGGACAAGGUCCUGAUUAAAACGUCAAUACCAAAAAAAAAAAAAAAAAAAAAAAAAAAACAGCAACUUGGGAAUCACCAAAACGCGAGUAUGACUGAUUUUAUUACAUUUAGUGUAAGUAGCGAUCGAUAGUGGAUAAUAAUAGUCUGUACAAUGUACUGACGAUAACAAGGUUGAGCUGUUGAGGCUCGCAGCAUCUUAAGGAGAAAUGAAAACAUGAGCGAAGCGCACACAAAAAGAAACUCAGUUAAACACACUGCGGUAAAAAUUCAAAAUGUAGAGUUUUUAUAACUUGAUACAGGUAAGCACCAAGAAUGCUGUUUUCCUAAAUAGGCUACCAUCACGAUUAAAAACGUGACACUGAUUUCAUACAACAUUUCAAUUAACAAGUAGUUAAUAUUAAGCCACUUACAUUUUAGAAGGAAUAUUGACUGUUUUUGUUCUAUUUUAUCAGCGAAAAUAGUUUCAAACAAAGAUCACAGCACUCAGACUUGUUUUCAUUACUGAAUGAUUCAGCGUUUUGAACGAAUCGGCCAUUUGAAUGAAUCGUUUGAAUGAAUGAAUCAAUGACCCACUCAUUAAGACGGUUACUUGCCGCCACCUACUGGUGGUUUAGUUUCAUUUUUAAAAGCAUCAUUUCCCCCCCAACAUUUCAUAUGUAUUUUCAAACAAUAUUUAAAACAAUCCCAUAACAUUAUUUAAUGCAGUUGUAAUCAAUCAAAAAUAUGCAGAUUUACAUAUGUCAAAGCUGCAAUAUUCUGAAAAGAUAUUGCUUCAGAAUUUAUAUUUCCACCACAAAAAAAAAAAAAAAAUUUCCGGAGAAGCAACUGUUUUACUCGUACAAGUGAAUGACCGAUUUACGCGUGUCCACAUGACAAGGCUUAAUGUCGAGCCCUGCAUGUAGUCUUAAUAGGCCGCAUUUCAGUCACCAUUUCAUAUUGUCUGACAACAAAACAGAAAAAUAUAUAGAUGAAACAAUUUUAUUGGGAAUUUGGCUGUAUUAAAAUAUAUUAUGUGAGCAAAAGGGUAGCAGCAGAGAAGCAAACAAAUGUAAAGGGCUGACACUUGACAGAAUGUGAAUACAACAAUUACAUGAUGAAUUUUUUAUUGCCCUAUGACGUCAUCUAUCGACAUUUAGCGGCAUAUAUAUGGCAUUAAAAAAUUUAAAAAUUGGCAUUAAAAAGCAUUAAAUUAGAUUUGAUGAAACCUGUAGAAACCCUGAGAGUAAUAGAAGCAAGAAAAACAACUUUUAAGAACAUAAACACAAGUUUAAGAUUUGUGUUUAAAGUUUUGAUUCAUGCUUGUUAUUUUUUUAAAUGCGCUUUUAAUUUUUCGAUUCACACGUAUUAUAUUUUUAUCCGUGACUACGUUCUUUGCCAUUUUGCAUUAUUUGUUUCAGUUUGUGCAGUAUAUUUUUACAUGUGUUUUUAAAUUUUUUAAUUCAAGCUUAUUAUUUUUUGAUCUGAGACCGCAAUACUUUAGGCGGGAAUCUAACCCCAUACAACGGUACUUGUAAAACAUAAAACAUAAUAGCAGAUAAUCCGUGGCAUCCUUAGCUGUUCACGAUGAUAACUUUAAAACCCACUGAUUACAAACCGUAUUUAAAAUGAACUUACUUGAUAGUUUAUCAUCGAAAUUGUUGUUUUAAUGAUUGUUUAUCGCCCAUUCAUCCUGUGAUUACUAAAGUGUUCCUACAAACACCAGUUAUAAUAUAAGAAAGCUGGCAUGGACUAACAACUUUGUAACACUGCAAACUGCACACUUCAUUAACAACCUUUAAUCAUAAGAAAAUGCCAUCAGAUAAAAAACGACUUUACUUACUCGUUGAGUCUGGUUUUCAUCCUACAUGCUGAAAUCUCUUCGCUGUUCAGAUUGAUCUGAAUAAACAGGGUAUGUGCAACUUUGGUGUAUAAGACAGCAGGCUAACCGGUGUGAUGUUUCAUUAACGUGUGUGCUUUAUUAACAUCAAAGCUUUUGACUGAACACACAAGCAAAAUGUGACUACUCAUCAAACUAGGGCAGAUCGAUAUGAAGUAUCAAUAUAUCGAUACUGACGUUGAGUAUUUAAAGUAUCGAUACUCAAAUUAAAAUAUCGAUACUAAGGUGUUUUUUUUUUUUUUUUUUUUACCAGUUUUUGUUUAUUUAACAAUAAAUUUAAUGCAUACAAUAUACACUGAAUUGGAAAAAUAACCUAUGUUAGCGAAUAAUUUGUAGCAGAAGUAUUUUCCUGCUCAUCUGAACACGCAAAUACUGCAAGUCAGAACCAAUCAAUCACAGAGAGUGUUCGCUCACUGCCGACAAUACAUUCAAACAGGGCUGCGUUUAGCAUCGUAAGAAAGUAUCGAAACGCAGCCCAGAACAAUGCUUAACAGCAGACAGAAAAAUAUAAUAUUAUUAUUAUUAGUUAUUUCACAAUAAACAAAAUGAAAUAGUAGCCUACAUACUUUGUGCAAUUACAUUUAUUUACAUUGAAGGUUAAAAGUUCAUAUUGAUGUUCUGUCAGAAUACAAAUGUUGCAUUGAAUGGGUGCAACAGCCUGUCACUGGCAGUCCCUUAUGAAAAUGAACCAUUACUAAAGUGACCAUAGUUCAGCUAGGCAUAUAGUAGGCUUAUUUGUAGAUUUGGUUUACCAAGUAAACAUUUUAACUAUGUGUAAACAAAAAUAUAAUCUAAUAAACUGCAAUUAAGGCAUAUUGAAUGUUAAAAUGCCUUUCAAAUAUAAUGUUACGUGGGUAUCAUAACCCAUUUUACUCUUAGUAAUUCAAUAAUUGAAUAAAUGUUAAAAUCUAUAAAUUCAUAUUAGAGGUAUCGUAUCGGUAUCGAUAUCGGCGAUAUUGGCCUUGAAAAUAUCAGUAUCGUAUCGAAAACAAAAUAAGUGGUAUCGCCCAUCCCUACAUCAAACCCUGGCAGAGCAGACUGUCUUGUUUCAAUUCCUUUAACACUGCAACUCAACUCUUUUCAAGCACUUGGUCGCCACCUAAUGGAUAAGGGACAUAUUACUAAUAACAACAUUAAACUGUUUGUUUUAUAUCAGAACCGGGUAGGCGUAUUUUGUGUGAAUGAUAUAAAUCAUAAAGUGAUUUUGUAGAAAUUGUAAUCAGGUGCUAAAAAAAGAGUACCCAUUAACAUGUCUUUACAGACCCGAUCAGGUACAACAAUGCACAGUACAAGCGCAGAAUUGAGCUUCUUGAGUCUGUUCAGUAAGGAGCGUUUUGAUUGGUGGAUUAAAAGCUCACCGCGAUUGGCUAAACAGAACAUCCUCCAAAAAAAGAUAUUUAUGAAUCUUAACGUGCCAGGAAGGUCUCAAAAAUACCUCACACAUAUUCAAAGCAGUCCACGCACGUGUGACGGUUUGCAAAUGCAGGUGGUUUUUGGGGCUGUUGAUGGCUUUUCGAGGAAGAUCUUUUACCUGGAUGUUGCUGGAAAUAACAAAGCCAGAACAGCUUUUGGGUUUUUCAUGGAUGGAGUGAAAAAAAAAAAGGAUGGCAAUCAAGGUAUGCAGAUUAUACAGAAUGAUUCUCACAAAUCUUUCACAAAAUGGUCCCACUGAUAGUAAAGGCCUUAUGACUACA